rnacentral:lncRNA from 1 species
GCGGCUCCCCCGCUGAGCGGCACGGAUCUGUCACCGCGGACUGCAGCCCACUCACUUCUGCUGCCCUCAGUACCGCCGUCCAUGGGAGGAAAUAGCGAUAAUAAAAAAAAAUAUUUCUAAAGAGCUGGAUUAAAUAAAGUAGGUGCUCCCAUAGAACAAGCGGCGCGACAGGCGGCCGAGGCACGGCGGCGUGCCCGUGCCGGAUGGAGCGCUGCGCACCGGGAAGGAGGAGAAGGCUCCGUGUUAGCUGGUGCCUGAAGCAGCCACGCACAGCCCCACAGCCGCCCAGGGAAGCAGGUCUGGGAGAUGAAUCUCUGCUUUGCUGGGGAUUGGUUCGUCUGGGAGAGCGGCAGCGCAAACUUUCUACCUCGUUUCAGCGCUGCUGAAGCCUUUUUGGGUCUGCAGCACGAAGAAGGUCCUCCACUGAAAGGUGAUCGCCCAGGAGUCAGGACUCCUCCUGCAAAAGGCAAAGAGAAGUUCCAAGUGCUGGCAGAGCUGCUGAACUGACAUUUUCCACGGGCAAAAAUAUUUUUAACACCUACUGUUUUUAGAACAAUGGAUCAUACCAAGGGCAACCUUGGUCAAUGUCUUUUGAUUUAUAGCUUUAUGAGAAAGGAUUCUCAACCUGCUAUGAACCAACUGAUAAUCUGUGUUAACAACUGAAUUCAAUUACUCAUAUAUUUUCAUACAUAUAUACUAUGAAGUGUAGUAUCAACAAUAAUAAUGUGAAGACAAAGUCACUUCUUAAAAUAGAAAAAUACUUGUAUCACAAAUGAUCUUUCUUUCUUUCUUCCUUUCUUCUUUUCAUAUCUUUUUCUGUCAUUUUACUUUCUAAGAUCACCCUGAUAGACAAGGAAAGGCAAUUCAGUAGAUGGCAUUUGUGAACAGAAGAGGUAGUUUAAAAGAGGGCAACUAGAAGCAAUCUUCAUUCUGGAAGUUAUGUGGCAUCUGAGUGUGUGGUUAUGAUGUAAUAGGAUGUAUUCAGGCAAGAAAAUCCUGAAACAUGAUUGCACACACUUGCUUAAGAUUGCAAUUAAGGACUCUUCUUUCUUUUGUCCUCUUUCUCCCAAUCCCUAAUACAUCGCUCACAAAUUAAACAAAAUAAAGACUCUUUGCACUGAUCCUUGAAGGAUGAAUUUCAAGGACAAAUUAUCUUCUUACUCACUAAAUAACAAAUACCCUUCCUUCAUCUUCUUUCAAAUUCAUUCUGUCAUGCAAAUAGUACUUGGGAACCUUACCUCCUCAUACUUAUUUUAGCAGCUAUAACUUCAAUCAUGAAAAUAAAUAAAUAAGAGUAUUUCAUUGUUUGAGAGUGGGAUGAAAUAAAAUAAAAAAAUAUACAGGGGCAGUGACCUUCAUAGAUGUUGUCCAUCACCUUCCAGCUCUUUCUUUGUUCUUCAGAUUAAAAAGAGGGACAAAGUAAUUUUACAGUCAUUUGAAAUGUUUAGGUUAGAAGGAUUCUUUCUCAUUAAUUUUGACUCUGAUAUAACUAAUCAGAAUUGGAAUAGCCAAUUAUCACCCAAUUAAAAAGCUUUUAUGUGUAGACUCUCAUGAAGUAUUUCACGAUGUUCUUACUGACUUAGUCGAUCAUUCUCAAGGAUGUAGUUUGUUUUCCAAAAAUCUAUAUUCUCUCAAGCAAAACCCGUCAUUAAACUGCAUGCCUGUGAAAACAUUUGAACUUAUUUUUACUGUGUUGAAAAUAGGAUAGAUAUUUUUGUAUCAUUAUUUUUUUUUCCUAAAUGCUUACCCUGUCACAUCAAAAUAAAAUGUAUUAAACCCUUUGACUUUUACUG